GGGCAGGGGCUGAGAGUGGAGUCAGAUCACUUGGAGGUCUCUGGGUGCCUCUUUCUUUGGGGUCUUCUGCAGGCAGAGCUGGGGGCUGAUCAAACCCAGCCCAGAAAGUCCAGGGUAGGGGAGGGGAGGGGAGGAUCGAUGUGGGCAACACUGGCAGUGGUGGGAGCCCAGGGGAGGCCCCUGGCCCAGUCUGGGGACGGGACACAUGGGGGACUGGGUGACAUCAGAACUAGAGACUUUGCUGAGCUUGGAGUGGAGGAAGAUAGGAUCGGGAACCACCAUGGGCUCACUGAGUGACGGCCUGCCCGGAUGAAGAGGUGGGGAGCUGGGGUUGGGAGAAUAAGGAGGAGACAAGCCUGGGGCAAGGCGUGGAGGGCCCCCCACCCGGUGGCUGAGCAGUGCAAGGAACGCCCUGGUAGGAGAGCAGGCUGGGUUAAGAAAGUAGAAUGAGUGACAGGGAAGGGCCAGGCCAGGACAUGGGCCUGAGUCAAGCCUGGGAGCAGUGUUGCCCCUGAAUCCCCCACCGAGAUGCUCCUGGGGGCAGGGCUGCUGCGGGGGUGGCUGCUAGGUCUUGUGUUCCACCCUCUUUCCCUGAUGGCACCGCAGGAGCCAGCAUCCAGCCUCACAGGCUUCAGUGCCAAGGGCCUCAGAACUUCAAAGAAACCUCCAGCCAUGUGGACCUUUUUGCAAGCUCAGACUUCUGCAAAACACUGGCAUUGAAAAUGAAUUUAAAAAGUCUUUGCUGCCACCAUCCUGUCUCAGUGUUGGGAAAACAUAUAACGGCAGCAGCACCCCAGAGAAAAACCCCAACAUAGCGCCUAACGACCCUCUUUCUCCUCUUUUUUUCUUUCACUGGCGCGAAACGUUCCCGCCGGCGCCCAUGUUCAAAUCCUGCUGGUGGGAAGCCUUAGCCCCAAUAAGAAUUAACUUCUUGGGCUCCAGAACUGACAUAUGGAAGAGCUUGCCAGUAAACGGGCGACCUGUUAUCUACCUCAGCCCUGCUACCUCUCCUUAGACCUAU
rnacentral:lncRNA from 1 species